rnacentral:sRNA from 1 species
AAAACAACAACAAAAAAAAUACCCUCCCCUUCCCAAAAAGCAUGCUUCUUAUUUCCUUCGAAGGCAUUUCCCAAGCUUCUGGGCGCAUGGCUGCUGUGUCUCUUCAAACACAAAUAAGAGUCUAGUGACUGGUGAUCAACAAAGACAAGCAUCCUUGCUGGGUGACACCCCCAAUCUUCAUAGGACAUUUAGCCCCUUGGGGUUCCCUUUGGACCCUUUCUUCUUUCCCUUCCUCCUGCCUCUUUUUCUCUUCCCCCUUCUCUUUCUUAGUGCUUUUUUUUUUUUAAACCUUUUAGGACAGUUUCACUAUCGGCCUCUAACUUGUAGAUACAUACCCAGGCUCCACGAACGUUCUUAUUCGAAAAACUGUACCCUGAACAGGUUGCGAGGCUUUGAAUUCCCUUUGCUGCUGGGAGGAGAGUGGGAGCCAUACAUACACUGUGUGUGAGGGUUGUGGGGACUAUUCCAACUGUCUGCCUCCCUCUGUUCUCCCCUAAAUCUUCCUGCGAUAGCUUGAGUCCAGGAAAAGUGACAGAGACUCUUACUCAUAGAACUCUUAGAAGAGUUGGCCAGGCCAGGCCUCAGACAACUAGGGAAGCUCUUGGGGUCCUGGGGAAUGGGCUCAUAAACAGAUAAAAGGAGGUCUUAGCCAAACUUCCCUAGAAGUGAGGGAGCUAACAAGAAAGAACUUUGGAAAUCUACUCUUCCCUUUCCCGGUCACUGCCAGGAAUGUCACCAUGAGAGCAGUUCCAGUUAAUGAGCAAACUCCUCAGACAAGGCAGGAAGGCAGCUCUUGGGCCUCACUGUCAAGCACAGGAAGCAACUGGAAUCCACUUGCCCAGAGUAGGGACCACAGCAGGUAUUGAGUGGGACUGCAGGCUUGACACCUUUAGCUUCUCCACACCCAGGUCAGCCGGGCUGUCAGCACAGGGCAGCAAGAGAGGACAGGGGACAGGCUCCAGGCGUGAGCAGGUCCCAGGGCAGCCCAGGGAGAGUGGCACCCUAUGGGUGUUGGCGUGGGGACAGGAGCACACCACAUGCAGAUGCACGUGGGGUUGAAUCUGAGGCUUUGGGAGAAGCAUCCAAGUCCGAGGUGUGUGUGAGGGGGUCCCCUCACAUCAGCAAUUCUCCGGGUGCAGAAAUGGCUGAUUUCCUCUGCUCAAGGAGAAAUCUCCUGUGAGGAAGGUGGAGGCAGGGUUAACAAAAUAAAAUUCAGAUUUGUCAAGAUCAGAAGUGCUUCGCAGAUGACAACAGCCUCUCCUCAAAUUUACCACCAGGAUUCCUUUCCUCCUCGGUUUCUGCCCAGCAAUCCCCUUUCUUGCUUUUACUAUAUUAUAAAAAUCUUAUCCAACCCU